CAACCUCUACCAGCUGGCAGGCUUCCAGGCUGGGCUGGGCAAGUAUCUCUUCAAAAGGCUCACUCUUAAGCAUGACUAGGAGC
rnacentral:pre_miRNA from 1 species